UAGUGAGUUUGAUCCUGGCUCAGAGCGAACGCUGGCGGCAGGCCUAACACAUGCAAGUCGAACGAACUCUUCGGAGUUAGUGGCGGACGGGUGAGUAACGCGUGAGAAUCUGCCUUCUGGUCGGGGACAACCACUGGAAACGGUGGCUAAUACCGGAUAUGCCUAUGGGUGAAAGAUUAAUUGCCAGAAGAAGAGCUCGCGUCUGAUUAGCUAGUUGGAGAGGUAAAGGCUCACCAAGGCAUCGAUCAGUAGCUGGUCUGAGAGGAUGAUCAGCCACACUGGGACUGAGA
rnacentral:rRNA from 1 species